AUGGCGGCUCAGGGAGGCGAGGCGGCUGCCGGAUCCGACCCCAAGCCCAACGAGGGCUGGAGCGUAGAGCAGCCAAGCUCAUCUCAGUACCAACCUUCAGCAUCUGGUCAUCAUGCGUGGUCUUCUUCAAGUGGGGCUUCAUGGAACUAUCCAGUGGAUAAUUCAAACCAAAAUGCAGUUUACUAUGAUCCACAAAGGGAUGUCUCAGUUUCAGGAGCUACUCAAAAUGUGACAAGUGGUGCACCUCAUGUGACUCAACCGGCUGUUGGCACAGCUAAUGCAACCAAUACUUAUGCACCUUACUCAAAUUCUGUUCAACCUGGCUACAAUGCUGCACAUUAUCCAAACUAUUAUUAUAAUUAUCCACAACCAGCAACCGAUUCUUCUGUUCACCAAGGAGUAGAUCAAAGUUCAGGUGCUGCAUAUCAGCCUCUUACUUCAUUUCCAAAUUCAGGAUCUUACGUUGGUCCUACAAGUAACUCAUAUUAUAAUGCUGGUGCUGAUCAGACUGCGCAAGCAUAUGCUACCAACAACUAUUAUUAUCAAAAGAAUGCCUGGUCUGGAGGAAGUUCUGGAGAUGUUCACGCCCAGACAUAUCAGACUUACACUCCAUCAGAUACUAAUGCUGCCCAAAGUUCUUGUUCUCUGCCCACCACUUCUUUCCACUAUCCUCAACAGUACAACCAGUGGUCUAAUUAUUAUGACCAGCCUGCACCAAACUGCGGUGGCUUCGCAGUUGCCGGCAGCAGUGCUUCUGAUACAAAAUCUGCUAGUGUCGGUUCUGGUUAUGCAUAUCCCAGUACCCAGCCACCUCCACCAGGUACUACCCAACGGAAAAAUGAUGCUGUUGCACCUACUGCACCUCCCCAGGCAGCGGGAAUCACAGGGUUUCAAAGCCAGCACGUCAACCAGGCACCAGGCGCCCCAGGUUUUCAAAGCCAGCACGUCAACCAGGCACCAGGCGCCCCAGGUUUUCAAAGCCAGCAUGUCAACCAGGCACCAGGUGCCCCAGGUUUUCAAAGCCAGCACGUCAACCAGGCACCAAGCGCCCCAGGUUUUCAAAGCCAGCACGUCAACCAGGCACCAGGCGCCCCAGGGUUUCAAGGCCAGCAUGCCAACCAGGCACCAGGUGCCCCAGGGUUUCAAAGCCAGCAUGUUAACCAGGCACCAGGCGCCCCAGGGUUUCAAAGCCAGCACGGCAACCCGUCACCAGACACUCCAGGGUUUCAAAGCCAGCAUGUCAAUCUGGCACCAGUCACACCAGGGUUUCAAAGCCAGCAUGUCAACCCGUCACCAGACACUCCAGGGUUUCCAAACCCCUAUGCUAAUAAGACAGUUGCUGUCUCAGGGUUUCAGAACCAUUAUGCCAACCAGGCACCAGCUUACCAACAAAACUCUACAAGUCAUAGCCAGUUACCAUUAAGUAACCAACGAGAUCAACAGAAAGCUUUGCAUGCGCAAGGUCAAAGCUCAAAUGUUUAUUCAGUCAAUCAUGUUAAUGAAAACUCUCAACCAACUUUGCAGUGUUUUACGAAAACAGUUGCCAGUGUAAAUAAAGUACACAUCCCGACAAACCCUCGAAUAGCUCCAGGUUUCCCAAUGUCAAUGCCCCAAACUGGGAAGAAAUUAGAAGUUGAUUCAUCGCUAAAACCUGCUUAUGUUGGUGUUAACAUGCCCAAGAAUGAUGUGAAUGCAGCUCAAGAUGGUCAUGGAGCUGCAAUUCAGGGAUCAUUCCCUGUUUCACUUUGUACUUAUGUCGAGCGGAAUCUUUCCCGUUGCAAGGAUGAUGCCCAGAGAUCUGCCACCCAAAGCAUCAUGAAGGAGAUAAUCACCAAGGCAACUGCUGAUGGGACCCUUCAUACUAAGAACUGGGACAUUGAGCCGUUAUUAGCUUUGCCAGAAAAUGCCAAAGGCACAUUUAUGACAAGCAACGCAAAGGAUUCAAGUCCGUUCUCCUUUUCAACAUCUAGGAGGAGCCCGAGUAGACGUACGAAAAGUAGGUGGGAGCCAGUUGCAGAGGAAAAAGUAACUAACAACGUGGAAGUUUCGAAAGAGCCAGCAAAAAGUAAUGCCUGCACUACUUGGGAAAAUACUAGAAGAACGGGUAACACUUGGAAUCUUGGAAACUUUGUCCAGUCGCGUCAGGCUCCUCCAAGCCAAUGGAAUCAGAGGCCCUCCAAAAAGCAGCGGAUUGGUGGUAAUACGAAUCUAACAAAAAACGGGAAUGCUUCAAGUGACAGUGAUAAGGAGCAGGAUCUUACGAAAUAUUAUGCCAGUUCAAUUGCACUAACAAAUUCACCCGAGGAGAAGAAGCGACGGGAGCAUAGAUCUAAGCGAUUUGAACGUGGUCAGGGUGCAUCAUCAAAAUCUAUGAGUUCCAUACCACAUAAGAAUGGAGCAGCCAAUGUAUACACAAGGGGAGCCAUUUCAAUGCUUAAUAAUAUAAGUAAUGGAGAUGGUGCUAGCUUGGCAGUGGAGGACAUCGACUGGGACGCACUUACAAUUAAGGGAACAUGUCAGGAAAUCGAGAAACGAUAUCUACGCCUUACAUCCGCUCCUGAUCCAGCCACUGUAAGGCCAGAAGAUGUCUUAGAGAAAGCUCUUCACAUGGUUGAAACAUCUGAAAAGAAUUACCUCUAUAAAUGUGAUCAAUUGAAAUCUAUUAGGCAAGACCUUACUGUUCAGAGGAUUCAGAACGAGCUGACUGUCAAGGUUUAUGAAACUCAUGCACGCCUAGCACUUCAAGCUGGAGAUUUGUCCGAAUAUAAUCAGUGCCAAUCUCAACUGACGAGAUUAUAUGGUGAAGGAAUCCCAGGCUGUCAUCUUGAGUUCUCCGCUUACAACUUGUUGUGUGUCAUGUUACACUCUAAUAACAAAAGAGACUUGCUUUCAUCCAUGGCAAGCUUGUCAAAGGAGGCCAGGCUAGACAAAACAGUCAAGCAUGCACUUGCAGUUCAUUCUGCUGUUUCAUCUGGAAACUAUGUCAUGUUCUUUAAAUUAUACAAGAAGGCACCUGGCUUGAACUCAUGUCUUAUGGACCUCUAUGUUGAGAGGAUGCGUUUUGAGGCAAUAAAAUGCAUGUCAAAAUCUUAUCGGCCAACUGUGCCUGUGAGAUAUGCUACACGAGCUUUGGGAUUCACAAGAGUCGAUGAACUCUGUGAGGCUAACGUGGCUGAUGGAUUGGAAGAAUGCGAGGAAUGGUUAAGAGCACAUGGUGCUGUUCUUGCAGUAGAUGAAAAUAACGGAGAGUUACAGAUAGACACAAAGGUCUCUUCUGCUUCUCUAUACAUGCCGGAGCCUGAUAAUGCUGUUUCACAUGGUGAUGCAUCUCUUGCCGUAGAUGAUUUUUUGGCGCGAGCAUCAUAA
rnacentral:rRNA from 1 species